UACGUAGGUGGCAAGCGUUGUCCGGAUUUAUUGGGUUUAAAGGGUGCGUAGGCGGUCUUAUAAGUCAGUGCUGAAAUAUCCCGGCUUAACCGGGAGGGUGGCAUUGAUACUGCAAGACUUGAGUAGAGUUGAGGUUGGCGGAAUUGACGGUGUAGCGGUGAAAUGCUUAGAUAUCGUCAAGAACACCGAUAGUGAAGACAGCUAACUAAGCUCUAACUGACGCUGAGGCACGAAAGUGUGGGGAUCAAACAGG
rnacentral:rRNA from 1 species